rnacentral:rRNA from 1 species
AGUGAACGCUGGCGGUAGGCCUAACACAUGCAAGUCGAACGGCAGCACAGUAAGAGCUUGCUCUUACGGGUGGCGAGUGGCGGACGGGUGAGGAAUACAUCGGAAUCUACUUUUUCGUGGGGGAUAAUGUAGGGAAACUUACGCUAAUACCGCAUACGACCUACGGGUGAGAGCAGGGGAUCUUCGGACCUUGCGCGAUUGAAUGAGCCGAUGUCGGAUUAGCUAGUUGGCGGGGUAAAGGCCCACCAAGGCGACGAUCCGUAGCUGGUCUGAGAGGAUGAUCAGCCACACUGGAACUGAGACACGGUCCAGACUCCUACGGGAGGCGGCAGUGGGGAAUAUUGGACAAUGGGCGCAAGCCUGAUCCAGCCAUACCGCGUGGGUGAAGAAGGCCUUCGGGUUGUAAAGCCCUUUUGUUGGGAAAGAAAAGCAGCAGGUUAAUACCCCGCUGUUCUGACGGUACCCAAAGAAUAAGCACCGGCUAACUUCGUG